rnacentral:rRNA from 1 species
GAUUGAACGCUGGCGGCAUGCCUUACCCAUGCAAGUCGAACGGUAACCGGUCUUCGGAUGCUGACGAGUGGCGAACGGGUGAGUAAUACAUCGGAACGUGCCCGAUCGUGGGGGAUAACGAGGCGAAAGCUUUGCUAAUACCGCAUACGAUCUACGGAUGAAAGCGGGGGAUCUUCGGACCUCGCGCGGACGGAGCGGCCGAUGGCAGAUUAGGUAGUUGGUGGGAUAAAAGCUUACCAAGCCGACGAUCUGUAGCUGGUCUGAGAGGAUGAUCAGCCACACUGGGACUGAGACACGGCCCAGACUCCUACGGGAGGCAGCAGUGGGGAAUUUUGGACAAUGGGCGAAAGCCUGAUCCAGCCAUGCCGCGUGCAGGAUGAAGGCCUUUGGGUUGUAAACUGCUUUUGUACGGAACGAAAAGCCUCUUUCUAAUAAAGAGGGGUCAUGACGGUACCGUAAGAAUAAGCACCGGCUAACUACGUG